UCCACCCACUUCAUUAAGCUAAGUUUGUUCAGGUGUGGUUUUUACAGCUACGCAAUGGCUGCUGCUGGGAAAGGAAAACAUGAUUUACAUAACUUGUGUCCAUGCAUCUUUUGUUCUCUGUUAGAGCUUUAUUUUAUUUUUGCUUACAAUGUCCCUGUGAUAUUACCAAAGAAAGUUGUAGUUUGUGGGAAUAAAUUCAGGAAGGAGUCCUUUGAAAACUACCAAGAGUUCAUGACGGGAUUCAGACUUCGACUGAAGGAAGAUUCUGGUCCCACUGUUUGUCACAAAUCUACAAAUUAUGGCGGUGGCAAUUCUCCCAGGAAGCAGGCAAAACUUGACUUGGAAAACGAUGGCUUGUGAACGUCUCUGCAAGGAAGAUCAGACAGAGUGAGAGUUGGAGUUUUAAAACUUCUACAGUUGCGACUAAAACUGGAGAAACCUGUGAAAUGGUGUUGCUGGUUUCUGGUCGUCUUUUGACAACCAGUGAUGUGGUUGACCCAGUUUUAGUAAACUGGGUCAAGGCAGACCAGGACCUUCAUGUGUCAAGACAUGAAAAGAGGAUGCAAUAAGAGAACCGACUCCCAUGGUGGCAGAAAUGUCCUGACAAGCUUCCAGAAAUAAGAGGCUCACAAACUAAACUUGAUGUUUUGGAUAGAGAAUCCAGUGCAGUGAUGACUAGUCAAAAAGUUGUUCAUAGCCUGUUUAUAAAUUUAUAACUAAAAAAAUGUUUCAUAGUUUUAUUGGAAAGUGCAUGCAAUGUAUUAAAUUGAUGCCAACAGCAGCUUUGAAUAUUUCCAUUUUUGUUUAAAUAUGUUUUAUUUGAUUAGAUGAAGUGAAUUUUGGAAAAUUUUACAUAUUGACCAGAGAGUGUGUGCUUUUGAUGCUUCUGUGGAGCCUAAUGUGUACGUGUUGACAUAAAAGAUCUGGAAUUUA